GCCUGGGUGGCUCAGUGGGUUAAGCAUCGACUUCCCCUCAGGUCAUGAUCUCACAGUUUGUGGGUUCGAGCCCCGCCUCAGGCU
rnacentral:tRNA from 1 species